rnacentral:rRNA from 1 species
UACGAAGGGGGCAAGCGUUGUCCGGAUUUAUUGGGCGUAAAGAGCGUGUAGGCGGCCAGGUAGGUCUGCUGUGAAAACUCGAGGCUCAACCUCGAGACGUCGGCGGAAACCAUCUGGCUAGAGUCCGGAAGAGGAGAGUGGAAUUCCUGGUGUAGCGGUGAAAUGCGCAGAUAUCAGGAAGAACACCCGUGGCGAAGGCGGCUCUCUGGGACGGUACUGGCGCUGAGACGCGAAAGCGUGGGGAGCGAACAGG